GACGAACGCUGGCGGCGUGCCUAAUACAUGCAAGUCGAACGCUGAAUUGAGGUGCUGGCUCUUCUGGGAGGAUUUGCGAACGGGGGAGUAACGCGUAUGUAAAAUGCCUUCUAGCGGGUGGGAACAAUUGGAAACGAGACCUAUUACGGCAUAACAUUGCAUGACACAUGUCAUUUAUUUGAAAGGAGCUAUUUCUCCAGUACAAGAUGGACCUGCGUUGUAUUAGCUAGUAGGUGAGGUAAGGGCUUACCUAGGCGGCGAUGCAUAGCCGACCUGAGAGGGUGAUCGGCUACACUGUGACUGAGGCACGGCCCAGACUCCUAGGGGAGGAAGCAGUAGGGAAUCUUCGGCAAUGGGGGCAAGCCUGACCGAGGAACGCCGCGGGAGUGCAGAAGGUGUUCGGAUCCUAAAGUUAUGUUGUCAGUCAAGAACGAGUGUGAGAGUGGAAAGUUAAAUCGGGACCGGAAGCGUACAAGAAAGGGAGGGUAAACUACGG
rnacentral:rRNA from 1 species